rnacentral:rRNA from 1 species
CAGCAGCCGCGGGAAUACGGAGGGUGCAAGCGUUAAUCGGAGUUACUGGGCGUAAAGCGCACGCAGGCGGUUUGUUAAGUCAGAUGUGAAAUCCCCGAGCUUAACUUGGGAACUGCAUUUGAAACUGGCAAGCUAGAGUCUUGUAGAGGGGGGUAGAAUUCCAGGUGUAGCGGUGAAAUGCGUAGAGAUCUGGAGGAAUACCGGUUGCGAAGGCGGCCCCCUGGACAAAGACUGACGCUCAGGUGCGAAAGCGUGGGGAGCAAACAGGAUUAGAUACCCCUGUAGUCCCUGUCUCUUAUAC